GGAGCUGUGGCGCAAUGGUAGCGCGUCGGAUUCCAGUUUGGAAUCUCCCGAAGGUUGCCGGUUCAAUUCCGGUCAGCUUCA